GACGAACGCUGGCGGCGUGCUUAACACAUGCAAGUCGAACGGAAAGGCCCUGCUUUUGUGGGGUGCUCGAGUGGCGAACGGGUGAGUAACACGUGAGUAACCUGCCCUUGACUUUGGGAUAACUUCAGGAAACUGGGGCUAAUACCGGAUAGGAGCUCCUGCUGCAUGGUGGGGGUUGGAAAGUUUCGGCGGUUGGGGAUGGACUCGCGGCUUAUCAGCUUGUUGGUGGGGUAGUGGCUUACCAAAGCUUUGACGGGUAGCCGGCCUGAGAGGGUGACCGGCCACAUUGGGACUGAGGUACGGCCCAGACUGCUACGGGAGGCAGCAGUGGGGAAUAUUGCACAAUGGGCGGAAGCCUGAUGCAGCAACGCCGCGUGCGGGAUGACGGCCUUCGGGUUGUAAACCGCUUUCGCCUGUGACGAAGCGUGAGUGACGGUAAUGGGUAAGGAAGCACCGGCUAACUACGUG
rnacentral:rRNA from 1 species